GCUACAAGGAUUGGAUGUGGAAGGGGGCGUGGUCGAUCCCCUACACCACCCACCUCCGCAGGCUAUUCGUUUCAGCACCAUGCAGAAUAGCUUUAACUUUCCAGCACGUACCUGUGCCAUCAGUUAGUUCCAUUUGAUCAUUCAAAGAUCCUUCAACCACGUCGGAGUGUCUGUUUUCUCUGCUCAAUGGAGACGACAUGUUUGCCACGUACAACGAGAUGUCUCAAGCCUCCAUGGCUGCCUGGGUGUUCUCCAAAAUCUACCUCUACACAUUCAUCUCUCUAUUCAUCUAUGUUGUACUGUCCGUCUUCAUCUCUCUCAUAUUAGACACUUAUGAGACAUUUCACGUAUCAGGUACCGUUUGUGUCAAAAUCCAAAAACAGUCGAUUUUAUGAAAUGGAGUUGACGUUAUAACAGAGUCGAUGUUAUGAAGGUAAAAAGGACCCAAUGUUAUGAGGGGUGCGUUUGUGUCAAAAUUAUUAAAUUUUCAUGGCACACAGUCUACCUUAUUACUUUAAAACAGUCGAUCUUUUAUAUAAACAGCAGUCAAUAUUAGCAGUCAGAGUCAAUGUUAUAAAAAUUAAGAGUCAAUGUUAUGAAAUGGAACCGAUGUUAUGAAAGAGUCAAUGUUUACCAUGAUCAUUACCAUUCUGUGUUUUGUAGUAAGUCGACCUUUACUCAAUUUAACAAUAAACUGGAGAGUGUGGGGCUAAGGAGGGGUAGAACCAAUUGACCUUAAUUCACUCAUUGGUUUUCUCCAGCCUGCUUUGCAGCACCCCUCGAUCGGCUCCGGCUCCCUAACACUUUCCAGUUUACUGAAAUUAAAUCGUAUUAGUAAAGGUCGACUUACUACAAAACACAGAAUAGGCCUAUAUACUCUAAUGUUACGGUAAACAUCAACUUAUUUAUAACAUCGACUCUUUCAUAACAUCGGCUCCUUUUUAUACAGCAUUAAUUUUUGGAUUUUAACACAAACACGGCACCCCAUACUUAGGCCUAAAUUACUGUUGAAUAGCCAUGUUUGAUUAUCAUAAUUAGACUAAAUCACCUGACUAAAAUCGACAUCCGCGUGUCAAAAGAAAUGUUUUAGACACACAUUUCUUAGGUCAAAGUUCAUAUAAUGUGGGUGUUUAAGACACGCGGAUGUCGUACCUAGCUCCUCUGAGUUGCUACAGUAUGAUGUUCAUGUACUGCAACAGUAUACAGUAGACUCUCGCUAUUCCGGCUCCCUGAAAUACGGCCACCUCGAUAUACCGGCCAUUUGGCUUGGCACGGAAUGCUAGCUAUAAUUAUGUUUACUGCACAAAACUCACCCUGAAGUACGGCCACUCGCUAUUCCGUUUACCGGCCAGUGCUGGCUGUCCCAAACAAGGUUUUCAAUGUAAUUUUAUACGUGCAUUAAGGCCGGAUAUGACGUUUUGGGUGUGGUUUAGCAAAUAAAAUUGAAUAACACUUAAAUAGAAAACAAAAUGAUCAUUAUCCUACAUUAUCCUCGAGACAAGAACCGCAAAAGUAGUCAUUAAGAUUCGAGGUAAGGUCGUUUUUAAGCCGCGGCUAUUUCCUGAGCUGCAGCCACCUCGCUAUUCCGGCCAAGCUGCAUGGUCCCAAGGGUGACCGGAUUAACGAGAGUCUACUGUAGUCACGGUCACUGGGCAAUUUUAGAAAAAUCGUGACAAGGCUACUAUUAUAUAAUUAUAACAACUGCAUUUCUUUUUGUUCAAUUAGAAUAUACCCAGUGCACAACGGUUACACGAUGAUUAUGAUUAUACUUUGUCUCAAUGUAUAUACCUUUCUUCUCC